rnacentral:piRNA from 1 species
AAAUGAUGUGGAAUCGGUUUUUGUUAGA